rnacentral:rRNA from 1 species
UAGGGAAUCUUGGACAAUGGGCGAAAGCCUGAUCCAGCCAUGCCGCGUGAGUGAAGAAGGCCCUAGGGUUGUAAAGCUCUUUUGGCGGGGACGAUAAUGACGGUACCCGCAGAAUAAGCCCCGGCUAACUUCGUGCCAGCAGCCGGGGUAAUACGAAGGGGGCUAGCGUUGUUCGGAAUUACUGGGCGUAAAGCGCACGCAGGCGGAUUGGUAAGUUAGAGGUGAAAUCCCGGGGCUCAACCUCGGAAUUGCCUUUGAUACUGCCAGUCUUGAGUGCGGGAGAGGUGAGUGGAAUUCCCAGUGUAGAGGUGAAAUUCGUAGAUAUUAGGAAGAACACCCGUGGCGAAGGCGGCUCUCUGGCCCGGUUCUGACGCUGAGGUGCGACAGCGUGGGGAGCAAACAGGAUUAGAUACCCCCGUAGUCC